UACGACUACAUAUCAGGCAUAUCAAUAAGCGGAGGAAAAGAAACUAACAAGGAUUCCCUUAGUAACGGCGAGUGAAGCGGGAAGAGCUCAAAUUUGAAAUCUUCAAGGUUUUACCUUGACGAAUUGUAGUUUAAAGAAGUGUUUUCUGUUGAAGUUUCGGUAAAAGUUCUUUGGAAUAGGACAUCAUAGAGGGUGAGAAUCCCGUAUUUGACCAUUAUUUCCAACUUUGUGAUACACUUUCAAAGAGUCGGAUUGUUUGGGAAUGCAGUCCAAAAUGGGUGGUAAAUUUCAUCUAAAGCUAAAUACUGGCGAGAGACCGAUAGCGAACAAGUACCGUGAGGGAAAGAUGAAAAGAACUUUGAAAAGAGAGUUAAACAGUACGUGAAAUUGUCAAAAGGGAAGCGUUUGACACCAGUGUUGUUUUCUCGAAAAUCAAUUAAAAAUGGCGGGAUUUUGUGUUGUAUUGACUUUAUCAGCUUUCUGCACUUUUUUCCUUGUCUUUUUUAAUGCACUUUUCGUUUAACAAGUCAACAUCAGUUUCUUUUGUUGUAAAAGGGUCAUUGGAAGGUGGCUUUCUUUUCGGAGAAAGUGUUUAUAGCCUUUGACUUCUGCAAUCGGAGAGAUUGAGGUCUGCAGCGUAGAUCCUUCUGGAUUAGAUACAUUUGUGCUAAGUUAUAGCCUUUUCAUAGACAACUUGUUGACUAUAUCUAGUCAUGUAACUUACUCGCUUAUGCUAUUUUACCUACGCUUAGGAUGUUGACGCGCGUGUGUGCGUG
rnacentral:rRNA from 1 species